AUAUUCUGCUUCUCUUUCUAUCAUAUAAAUCUUUCACCUUUUACUAAAAAUUUCUGUGGAGAAGAAUAAUUCUGAGUUCAAGAGGGAGAUGAUACAUGUAUAAUU
ensembl:snRNA U5 U5 spliceosomal RNA